rnacentral:lncRNA from 1 species
AAGAAGUAAACUAACCAGUGUGUCACCAGAUAUAAACGGCUGUCCCUUCAACUCAGUGUUCCGUAGCACAGUGAUUCUGUUUCCUUUGUUCCAGUGCCCGCCACCAAAGUCCUGUCUGUGUGACAAGGGGGAAAGGGGGCACCCUGGCAGCCCGGGCAAGGCGGGCGAGCGGGGGUCCGACGGAGCCCCGGGUCCCCAAGGGCCGCACGUACGUGUCCCUGUGAUCUUUCCUCUUUAUUAUCGCCCCCGUAAGCCCGGUGUUGGUGUUGUAGGUAAAGCCCCCCCACACACACACACACUGACCUGUGUUCCUCUGGUGCACGCAGGGGGAGUCCGGCAUCAAUGGGCGCCCAGGAAUGGACGGCAUUCAGGUGAGGAGAUCUAAAACUUCCACCAGCGCUGUUGAUACACGGAGCAACCGCCCGUCA